AUUGAACGCUGGCGGCAUGCUUUACACAUGCAAGUCGAACGGCAGCGCGGGCUUCGGCCUGGCGGCGAGUGGCGAACGGGUGAGUAAUGCAUCGGAACGUGCCCAGUAGUGGGGGAUAGCCCGGCGAAAGCCGGAUUAAUACCGCAUACGACCUGAGGGUGAAAGCGGGGGACCGAAAGGCCUCGCGCUAUUGGAGCGGCCGAUGUCGGAUUAGCUAGUUGGUGGGGUAAAGGCCUACCAAGGCGACGAUCCGUAGCUGGUCUGAGAGGACGACCAGCCACACUGGGACUGAGACACGGCCCAGACUCCUACGGGAGGCAGCAGUGGGGAAUUUUGGACAAUGGGGGCAACCCUGAUCCAGCCAUGCCGCGUGCGGGAAGAAGGCCUUCGGGUUGUAAACCGCUUUUGUUCGGGAAGAAAUCCUCUGGGCUAUUACCCCGGGGGGAUGACGGUACCGGAAGAAUAAGCACCGGCUAACUACGUG
rnacentral:rRNA from 1 species